rnacentral:sRNA from 1 species
AUGUACCACUCGCACACUCCGGUUCUGAGCGCGCCGUCCGCGCCCACCUGACAGCUGCUCGCUACGUUUUGUUGGCC